rfam:Microbulbifer thermotolerans strain DAT221, complete genome.
GCAGGGGUUCCCGAGUGGCCAAAGGGAUCAGACUGUAAAUCUGACGCGCAAGCUUCGGUGGUUCGAAUCCACCCCCCUGCA